GAGCAAGUAACGUCUAAAUUAACUUUUUUUUGCUGAUGAACUGUAUAAAUGAGUGUCUAAUAGUGUUUUAAAUGUGUGUAUUCAUUAUUUUAGCAUUUUGGUGCAUUUUCUUAAAAAAUUAAAAAUUCUGCCUAAAUACCACAGUAUAGCUCCACCUUCAGCUUAAAACAUAGAAUUUGACUCAUUUUGAAUAAAUUUUAGCCAAUGGCUAAAGAGUAAGAUACUACGUAAUCCAGUAGAGUACUACGUAGCAGCUCUGUGUCAACGUUAUAAAAGCAUCGGGAGUCUCGGCCACGCCUUGUGGCGAGUUGGGAGUUGGAUUUGCAUGAGAGUGUAGGAGGCUAGCCGUAGUUCAGCAUUAGCAUAUAGCAUUAGCAUAUCCUAGUCUUUAGCAUAGCUUUUAGUGUUAUACAUACUUAUUUAGUGUUAGCUUGGCUGUUGGAUAUUGUAGUUUAGUUACUGUUUGGCUGUUAGUGUAAUUAGGAAAGUAGUUCGGGUUUAGUGCUCCAUAUCGUGUUAGCAUGGUGAGAUGGUGUAGUGUAGUAUGGUUGCGGAGCUCUGUCGGGUUGCACUCCUUUCCGCUGGACUUAGAAAUUAGGCGCCAGUGGUUGCGUGUCUGGAAAAGAUUCAGCUCCCGCCUGGUGCUGUAGUUUGCAACCAGCAUUUUACCCGCGAUUCUGCACGUCUCCGUUCCAAGAGGGAGGCUGUGCCCACCGUGGCUCUUCCGCGAUUUAGAUGCAGCCCACCGACUCUGCUCCCCCACCAUGACGGGCUACAGUCUGAGGCUAAAUCUACCCAAGACACUGGCUGUCAGACUGAUUUAGUAAUCUGCAAGAAUGCACUUGUCCAGGCUGACGUGGUGUUACCCGUAGCAAAGAGCUCACAGCCUCAGUGUCUUGUGACACAGGGACCAUGACAGAAAUUCAUCUUCCAGAAGGUCCCAGAGCAUCCACACCUCCUGAAAAGACCACGGUGUGAGGUGUCUGCUGUUGAUUCCAGCUUCCACCUCAGUGACAGUGCAAGCUCAGUGAACUGUUCAAGGAGGCUACUGAUUCUGGCCCUGUGACACUUGGUGGUGACGUGUGAGCUGAUUCACCUGGACACUCAGCAAAAUAUGGACUCUACACCAUGAGGCAGGCACACGUUAAUAACUCUAUAAGAGCACAUAAGCCUGGCUGAUCACCUGAUAACUCCUGUCAUCUGGUUAUGACAGCAUGAGGAUGUCCUCACACAUCUGUAACCUAUCAGCUCAUCUGGCAGAAUAGAGAGAGAAGAGACAACACCACAUCUCCUGUUCCUGGAAAGCCUUCAGCCAUCCUUCGAUGACUGAGAACCUCCAUCAGCUCUGUCUCCUGUCUGCCUACAAUUAUUAUAAUAAAUAUUGUGUUUGACAAGUU